UCCACCCCGAGACCCAGCCAGGACGCUGUCACCGCCCCCGGGGCGCCAGCCAGGACGCUGUCACCGCCCCCGGGGCGCCAGGAGCAGCAGAAGCAGCCCCGCCGGCCCCUGGGAGACCGGCAGGCACUCGGGUCGCAGGAGCCUUCCUUGAGGUCCCCCGGGUGUAAAAGGCAGGAUUCAAACUUGGAUCUGUGGGAUACGAAGCUCUGGAAGGGUUUUCACUGUGACUCCCCACCUCCUGCUCAAAUCUCUAGCCCAGCUGAUGGGUUCGGGGACGGUGAGUUUCUGGGCUCAGCUGGAAGCGAUUCUCUGGGGUAGUCCCAGAGGCUGGAGGGCUGGAGAAUUCUCUCUGUUGUCAGACAAAGGCUGAUGAUGGUCCCUGCACUUGGCGGGGAGGGGGUGCACUGCCUUCACGCCCCAGCCUGUCUGCUCUCUGCUUCCCUUUUUCCCUCCUGUGUCACCCAAAAGGGUGUCUUCCAAGUGCCAAACAGUGGUCAGAUGUCUACCCCCAUUUCCUGAUGGCUGCACAACUCUCUUGAGUCAAGGAUCCAGAUCCCGCCGUGUCAGUCCUCUUCUUGGAGCACUUCCGUGACUUCCUAGCCUACAGGGUGACAUUUAAACUCCACUGUGUGGCGGGCAGACCAAGCCUUAGUCACGGGGCCACUGCAUCUCCAGCCUAUCCUGUCACUCUCAUCACCCCUUGCCCUCCGGACCCCAAAUCCUCAACCAGCCCCACCUCUCAGGCCUGCAGGUCCUCUGCAGAAUGCCUUCUCCUCCCUGCCUGCUCCCACUCAAGGCCCUCCCAGCCCCACUGCGCUGGGUGCCUCCCAGGCUCGCUGUGACUCAGGGAGGCAGGUCUCAGCUGCCCCAUUUUACAGGGGAGGAAACUGAGGCUCAGGAAAAUGACUUUUCUCAGCUCACACUCCUAUCCUGGUGGACUGACAGCCCCUAUGCUUUCCUCAGUAGGCCCCCCCCCAUCUCUGUCAUUGCAACCCUUGGCUGCUUAUACAGAUGCCUCCCAACGAGACUGAAAGCACCCUGAGGGCAAAGCACUCCAGCCCUCACCUCGCAGGACUGCUUCCACCUAGUACAAGCUGCGCACGUUGCUGAGUGACAAUCAGGAGAGUUUGAAAGCCCCUCUUCCCCCUGAAGCCUGAGGGUUUUGUUUCGGAGGGCUGCCGGAGCCUCGCCCAGACUUUCUGAGAUGGGUGAACUCCACUGAAACAAUCUAUCUGCAUCCUCUCCACUGUCCUUCAGUUUGAGAAAAGGAAACAAUACAGGCACUGUUAAAGGAAAAGAAACGGGAGUGAGUAUAGCUCAGUGGUAGAGUGUGUGCCUGGCAUGCAUGAGGUCCUGGAUUCAAUCCCCAGUGUAUCUACAUCGUGUGUGAGGUCCUGGGUUCAAUCCCCAGUGUAUCUAUAUCAAAAAGAAAUAAACCUAAUCCCCAUUCUGAAAAAAUAAACAAAACAAACAAGAAAAAAAUAAGGAAGUCGACCUUAUUUUAAAAAUAAUGGAUGCUAUUGUUAAAAAAAAAAAUUCCCACGGUACCAAUUCAAGGGAGAAAAUAAAAAUCAGCCUCUCCCUUUCAACCCCAGGCUCCAAGUGCAUACUCCAGAGGCAAGCUCUGCGUGGAGCCCAGUGGACUGGGGGGCGCUGUUGCUCUGAAUCCAUCCUGUUAUUUGCAUGGAGGCCCCGCAUCCCACAGGUGCUCACAGCCAAGGCUGGAGUGGCCAAGCUGCCCUCCCUCCCUGGGCGCACUCAGGCUCUCAGUCUCACAGUCCGCUUGUCCUUCUGCCUCUCAGCCCUGCACAUUCUGUCCUGCUCCUUCCCAAGCUGCCCUGAUGCCAGCCCAGUUCCACAUUUUCAUCUAACCAAGUGGAAUCUGCCCCGGGCCUAGAUCUUACUUUCUAAUGAAAAAGCAUCACUGAUCACAGAUCACCACAGGAAGUGCUCAGAGGAAAGGGGGGGAGGCACAUUCAAAGACUCAGGGAUAUCAAAGACUUGAAGGAAUAUGGUAUAAUUUGAGCAAAAAUAAAGAAGUAACUGUCAUGAUUUAUAACCCAUAGAAUGAAACAAACAUCCAAGAGUCUAUGCAGAUGUAAACAUAAUGGCAUAAAUAAAUAAAUGGAGGAAAGAGAAAACUCUUUUUCACAGUAGAAUUCCAAUUAACAGAUGGGGAAGGGUGGGAAGGGACAGACUGGGAGUUGGAAAUUUGUAGAUACGGACAGGUAUAUGUAGAAUAGAUAAACAAGGUUAUACUGUAUAGACAGGGAAAUGUAUACAAGAUCUUGUGGAAGCUCACGGUGAAAAAGUAUGCGACAAUGAAUAUAUGUAUGUUCCUGUAUAACUGAAAAAUUGCAUUCUACACUGGAAAUUGACACAACAUUGUAAACUGACUAUAACUCAAUAAAAUAAAAUUUAAAAAACAAAAAAA